CCCAGGAACCGGCAGCCUAUGUGCUGAUCCGAUGCAGAGCUAAUCUUUUCUGAGACAUCCUCUCCUUCAGGGUCCAGCCUCCCAUAGUUUUGCUUCCCUGGGACAUGCUCUUCUCUGUGUCAACCCAAAGUCUGAAAAUGGCCCAUCAACUUUUCCCAUGGAAGGUCUGCCCUACCCUGCUUAAUCUGAGAUCAAGCACAGGCCCUAUAAGUGUACAUCUGGGUCAUGCUCUAUGAAGAGACUGUUGUUAUCAAUGAGUUCGAUGCAUAUAUUUGUUAGCACUGACAGAUUCAGACACAGAUAUUUUCCACCUCCAAUGUUCAGAUCUGGUGUAGCUGCUGGGAGCCCUGGGCUGGAUAUGUACCCAGGUGACUCAUGGGGAAGGAUGCACCCUUCUGAGAAGCAUCACCUUUCUCAAGAAGCAUGACAGAGCUCCCGAUAUUAGACUUUCAAGACGUCUACCAGGCCUUCUUUGGAAUAAAUUGUGUCAUUGAAUGGAUCUGGCAGUGAAGGAGUCGGGAAGACUGUGAUGGGGGCAAGAAGAGCCAAGUGCCAAGGCUCCUUCCCCUCUAUGGGCUUCCAGCCUGAAGCUGGCCUGAGGAGAGAGAAUUCAUAGCUAAGUCAAGUUCAGCCUCUUGAUUAUUACAUGGGACUGGAAAUUAUUGUGCCUGAAGCUCAAAUGUCCUGUGGCUUCAAGUGACUCCAGUGCUCUUCUACUACCCAGGAGUGAGCAGAAAAGCACCUAAAGCUGCCAGGGCUUUUCUCCAGGGGCAGGGAAGGUUACCCACUGAUAAACUAUCUAGGGACAAUGGGAGACAGAGACAGGUCUGAGUAAGUCACAAUUGUACUUAUUCAGCAUGCCUAUUACAUGUGCAAGCGGUGCUUGGCAUGCAGUGAAUGCUCAAUCAGUAUCUCUUACUGACUAAUGUGAACCAUGUUAUAAUGAUUCCCAUGGAGACACAGAAGUCACAAGAGCACCAAAAGUCAAACCUAGGAGUUGUGGUUUGGUUGCUAUGAACUAUUCAAGGGUUGUUAACUAUUUGACCUCACAAAAGUUAUGCCUAUAGAAUGGCAUCAGUGACCCCAUGGCAUGGAAAGAGGUAUUCAGUGAGCUAGAAUACUGUCCCCUUGCGGAAGACAACUAAAGACCAAUGACUCCCGUUUUGUUUGUUUGUUUGUUUUGUUUGUUAAUCUCCAUAGAAAACUCACAAACAUUGUUUUAAAUCUCUUCACAAGUGAGGGUACAACCCAACCUUAGGAUUGGACUGAAGAUACUUACUUUUCAAUUGAUAGGAUAUAAGCAGAUAAGACCUUCUCCAAAGUUUCCUCCCAAGGGGGAAUCUGGUGGAAUAGCUCAUUCAGUUCACUCUGCCCUCCCUUGACAGUGCUUUCUUCUAUUCCACAGAGGCUAGUAAACUCCCUGGCAGGUAGGCUUUCUCAGGUGAUUCAGGUUUGAUCAAUGAGGAAUACUCACAUGAGAUUGAGAAGACAGAAAUGUGAUGGGGGCCAUGCUCCUGCAGCCGACAGGCAUGUGGUGGUGUUUGGCUUUUCUGCAGCAGCACUACCAAAGCUUCCAGCAUCUAUUCAUUACUUUCAUGGGUAGUGAGGGGCAGAGUAGGGGCAUUCAUUUAUGUCAUUGCAGGUUUGGUGAGAUCCAGAGCUGGCAGCCGUAGGGGAUUCCUUAUCUUGGCAGCCUCCUAUUGCUGCAGCAGCACUGUGGUUCUAGAGGAGGUCACUUUCUGGUUGCAGAGGAGGCAACAGCUCUCUUGGUGGCCCAGUUCUGCACUGUGCUUCGGGAGUCUUUCCCAACAACUCAGCCUAGGGUUUAUUUCUUUCCAAGUGAUUUUGUAAACCAUUUAAUAUCCUGAAAAUAUCACUAACUACCUAGUUAGAAAAGAUUCUGUUUGGCCGGGCAUGGUGGCUCACGCCUGUAAUCUCAUCACUUUGGGAGGCUGAGGCAGGUGGAUCACUUGAGGCCAGGAGUUCAAGACCAGCCUGGCCAACAUGGUGAAACCCCAUCUCUACUAAAAAUACAAAAAUUAGCUGGGCGUGGUGGAGCCUGCCUGUGAUCCCAGCUCCUUGGGAAGCUGAGGCAGGAGAAUCGUUUGAACCCAAGAGGUGGAGGUUGCAGUGAGCCACUGCAUUCCAGCCUGGGCAACAGAGUGAGACCCUGUCUUAAAAAGAAAAAAAAGAAAGAAAGAAAAGAAAAGAUUCUGUUCUUUACCACAAUGAACCCC
rnacentral:lncRNA from 10 species